rnacentral:lncRNA from 1 species
CAAUGGGAAGGGAAUAUAUCGUUCGGAAGGCGAGUUUGUGCCACGGUGCUCUAUAGAACUAAUAGGGGCUGGCAGGGUAAAAAAAAUGAACCUAAUAUAAGGCGGUUUUUCGCGAUUACUUAAACACUACGGCAAACAGCUGGGACAAACGUGGCCUGGCUGCUUUGGGCUGGGCUGUGAGGUGGUCUCUGGGUGCUGGUCUAGGCAGAGAGGCAGAGCCUGCAGUGGUGGAGUGGCUGUGGGUGUUGAGGUGGUGCCCGUGCCUGUCCAUGCCCGGGGUCCGGAGUAGAUAGCAGCUAAAAUGUUUUGCUCUGCCCUCCCAACAGACGCUGGUUGGAGGGAGCUUCAGCAAUGGACUCAGGAACAGCAAGCGUUUAAUGCCACAGCGGUGGUCCGUCACAUGAGGCGUCUCUAGCUGGGACCAUGUCAGGAGGUGCCGAGCCAGACCACCCUGCUCAGCCACUGCAGAAGUGGCUCCCAGCCAGACCACCCUGCCUAGCCCCUGUAGAAGCCAUCUGCUGCUGCCUGAGGGGGAACACACAGAGUCUCCCGUUGAGGGUGGCUACUCCCAGAGUGCGAACCAGCGGGGCAGAACGAGACUCCCUGGCCAACUGUACCUACCGCUGCCAUCCAACCAGCUGCAUCUGAUCCCCCGGCCACCUGUAGUGUGGCCAACCAAUGACUUUCCCACUUUCCAGUCUGGCCCCGAACACAGAGUUGUUGUUCCAGCGCCCCUUCACCAGAUGGGGCAGGGAUGUUAAGAACCCAGGGUGGGGAGGAGGGAAGAGGGGAUUCUAUGAUGCCAUUGCCAACAGAGGAGGUCACUUGACCUAGAUUGGGGUGAGAGUGGAGGAUGAACUGAGAGAGGAGAAGAGAAGGAGGCAAGCUUAAGGAGAGGUGUUGUACCCAGUGUAUUCCUGGGUGUUAUUAGUUUGGGAGUGGGACAGAGCUUGGACAGUGUUUUUACUCAUGCUUUUUAAAAGUGUAUGUCUGCUUUUUUUCAUCUCUGUAUUUCUGUACAUGCUGUUUUUUUCAUUGUCGUUAUCCUUCCCCCUUGACAACGUAUAGAGGAUUGAUCCACUGAUGCUACUUGCAUGAUCAGAGAACAGGCAGACAGGUCCCAAUGCAUGUUGACUGACAACAGGUGUUUUUAUAACAUAAGGAGUCUACUGCAGAACUAUGUGUAUGCGGUACCACCCAUUGUGGAAUAGUUUCUGUACAGCAGAUAUUGUAGCUAAUAGCUCACAAGAGAUGGACUUACAUGCAAAGCCAUUCCUCAAAAAACUAAGAAUAGGUGUCUGUUAACCUACAGAGGUCUCGGUUAACCCACAGUUUUACUCCCUGAUGUUUAAACCACAUUCUAACCUGAAAGUGCAAUAUUAUCCCGUUGAUAAAGACACUUUUGGGGGAGAGUUUCAGCCUGCCUUUCAACUGGUCAAAACUUAAUCCAUUUAAGUUAUUAAGAACAUGGAAGAUGUAAUGAGCUCAGCCCUCUUGCUUAAGGGCAGGGAAUAGAUGUGUGUGAAUACAAAGCCAAAUGUGGAUAUGUUUUUCACUGUGUACAUGCAACCAAUUAACAUUCCCUUUUGGAUCACCCUUCCAUGGGUCUUUUCUUAAUUCAUUUUGGGGUUGUUUUUUCAAGCAAUUUUAUGUGUACAGAGAGAACUUGAAUUAAUGAAAGUAAAUAAUAAUCCAUCAUUACAUCUGUCACUCUCGCUCUCACCAUGAGGUCACGUUAAAUUGUUGAUACCUUUAAUAACCUAUUGCACAUACAAAAGUGACAUUUUUUGUUAUUCACUUAAGACCACUCCAUUUGUUUUUGCACCACCCUAUUUUCCAAAUACUCUGUUUAAAUGUCCAUAAUUUGAAUGUAUGUAUGCGAAACAACUUGACCUGGCAACCUUUGGGGUCUAAAAUGUUGAGAUUAAGUGGCAUUGAAAAGUCUGACAUGGAAUACAUAACCUAACUUGUGAUCUGUGUAAGAGGCAAUAUAGUGAGAAAUUGUCAGUUGUAACCCAUUCGGCUUAGGUUUUCAGCCCUCUAUCAAAAUAUUAC